rnacentral:rRNA from 1 species
UACGUAGGGUGCAAGCGUUGUCCGGAAUUAUUGGGCGUAAAGAGCUCGUAGGCGGUUUGUUGCGUCGGCUGUGAAAUCCCGAGGCUCAACCUCGGGUCUGCAGUCGAUACGGGCGGGCUAGAGUCCGGUAGGGGAGACUGGAAUUCCUGGUGUAGCGGUGAAAUGCGCAGAUAUCAGGAGGAACACCGGUGGCGAAGGCGGGUCUCUGGGCCGGAACUGACGCUAAGGAGCGAAAGCGUGGGGAGCGAACAGG